UUCUGAGGAUGCCCCCUACCCUGUCUGUACCGUGCGGUACUUCCCUAGCACAGCCGAGCACACCCUGCAGUGGGCCCGGCAUGAGUUUGAAGAACUCUUCCGACUGUCUGCAGAGACCAUCAACCACCACCAACAGGCACACACUUCCCUGGCAGACAUGGAUGAGCCACAGACACUCACCUUACUGAAGCCAGUGCUUGGGGUCCUGAGAGUGCGUCCACAGAACUGGCAAGACUGUGUGGCGUGGGCUCUUGGCCACUGGAAACUCUGCUUUCAUUAUGGCAUCAAACAGCUGCUGAGGCACUUCCCACCUAAUAAAGUGUGUGGCUAGGGGUUGGGACGCUGGGGGCUCAGGGGGACCAGACUGAGCCCAGCAGCUUCUACUUACCUACCUAGGUGCUUGAGGAUGGAACUCCCUUCUGGUCAGGUCCCAAACAGUGUCCCCAGCCCUUGGAGUUUGACACCAACCAAGUGAGUGGGAUUCUGUAGGGAGCUCCAAGAUAGAGAUGUGGCCCCUCAGAGCAGAGGUAGGCAUUUCUGCAUUCUGCAGAGAUGCACAGAUGCCCAGAGAGAGCCAUGCUUGUGCAUAUAUGGGUGUCUACAUGUGAGGCAAAGGCAGGCACUCAAACAGAUCCACAAAUGGACAGUGACCCCCACCCCAUGCACCCAUGCCUCUGUUCCUGCUCUUGGUCUGGCUGCAGGACACACACCUCCUCUACGUACUGGCAGCUGCCAACCUGUAUGCCCAGAUGCAUGGGCUGCCUGGCUCACAGGACUGGACUGCACUCAGGGAGCUGCUGAAGCUGCUGCCACAGCCUGACCCCCAACAGAUGGCCCCCAUCUUUGCUAGUAA
rnacentral:lncRNA from 1 species